UGCUCAGUGGGUUAAGGAUCCUAUGUUGCUGUGGCUGUGGCAUAGGCCAGAGGCUAUAGCUCUGAUUGGAUCCCUAGCCUGGAACUUCCAUAUGCAGUGGGUGUGGCCCUAAAAGAAGAAGAAAAAAAAAAAAAACCAGUAAGAUUGCAUUCUAGGAAUUCAAUUCUGAUUUGUUGCUGCUCAUAACUUGUAGGAAUUAGCUCCUCAUAAUCAGGUCAGCAGGGUAUAUUCACUAGAAAAUUCAUGGUAUAUUGACAGUCAUUGUUUUUUAUUCACAAAUAGAAGAGUACAUAGGCAUUUCACAAAGGAAAGGAACAUUUUUGAUUUGUGGUCAUGGAGGGUGUGGCAUAAAUGGUCCACUUAGCCCCUGGGCUAUUGAAUCUGUAUCCUCCUGAUUAGUUGUCAAUGAGAUUUCUCCAAGGUCAACUGCUGGGUAAGAAGUUUAAAAGUGCCCUAUGAUCCAUUUAUUACAUAAUUGUUGGGUGGGGUUUUGGGAGAGGGUGCACUUCCAGGGAAAAGGAAAGAAGGCAGGUUGGCUAGGUCUGUGUUUCUUGUGAAUAUGAUAGCUGGGACACUGGGAAGGUAGAAUAAUGAAAUAUGUAAAGAGAGGACUCCUUAUCUAUACAAAGCUUUGAGCAGAAUGUCCUAGCUUUGGGAUUGCUUAUGAUAAAACAAACCAGCAGUCUACUGAAUUAUGAGACAUGGCUCUCAUAUGAUUCUCUGGGGUACUGGGGACAUUUCCUGACAUUAAUGCUCUCUGUUGUCUGAGGGCCCUCAAGUACCUCUUAGAGAACUGUCAUUUUGAGCACUUGGAAAUGCAUUCCUGAUGCCACAAAAAAGGAGGUGGGAGUCACAAAGGAAGUCUUCUCCUUGCUUCACCCAGUCCUCUUGAAUGCCUAUAUUCUUUAAGUUGUUCAUAAAUCUUGAUACUGGGUAAGUUCUUUGAGCUAUGAGAGUCUGAUUUGACAAGUUGAUCUUUUGUGUUGGCUCAACUGUCAAAAGCAAAAUGCUUAGGAGUGACUCCUGAAACAUAAUUUGCAUGGAUAUUUUUACUCAUGGAACACUAGGUUUGUUAAUAGCAGUAGAUCUUGUUUGGAAAAAAAAAACGGAGCAUGAGAUUCACCACUAAUGAUAGAGCCUAUCAUUAUUUGAUAUGCUUUUAAUAUUUCUAGACCUAGUAAUAGAACAUAAAAAUAUUCUCUUAAUCUUGACAUUUCUCUUGAUAUUUCUAGACCAAGUAAUAGAAAAUAAAAAUAGACUUGACACAUCUAUAUCCCCUUGCUGAUUAAAAAUUAUGGAGAAGUAUAUUGUGGUUGCAAGACAUAUGAUCCUUCAAAUUUAGCAUUUUAAUUCUUGAUGUUGGUUGGUGCAGUACUUUUGAAGAGGAGACAAAAGAAUUCAGACUGUCUUACCAGGAGGAAGGCUCUUGCUCUUCCCUGCUCCCCUCAAAAGAGUAAUUCCAAUCUUUCUUUCCAAAAUCUUGUUCAUUUUUCUUCUUUUUUACCCCUUGCUUUCAAAUUCUACAACUAUCAAGAGAGUAAUUCUUUGAGUAAGAUGUUCUGAAAUCUGUCUGCACUCUGGCAGUACAAGGUGAGGCAAGUGUCAAUAGUGCAGGCACUGUGCCUUGAGCAGGGAUUCAUUUAUAAUGUUUGCCAAUCCUUGAUUUAAGCCGAUCGACACACGGCAAGGUCAGCUGGAAUUAGAUAAGACUGUUUCUAAAAAAUGUGGCAAUGCUACCUUCAAAGAUAAUCUAUAAGCUGUCCAGCAAUUCUUAUUCUGAUUUUCAAAGUCAUAGACCUCUCAAAGAGUUAGAAGGGAAAGUAAAAUAACUACUCUGAUGGUGGAAUUUUCAAAAUAAUUUACACAAAAUGAUUUGAAACAGCAAAAGAUUUUUUUUCCUGUUCUCAAAUGUCAGAUAUUUAUACAACAAAUCAAAAGAAGCAUCUUGGGAAAGGAAUAGUGCAUAUUAUUGAAAAGGCCUUUCACUCAGCCUCAAGAGUCUGCUCAGAUGAUUCCUGUAUUAGAAAUUCCUUAAAAGAAGAGUCCUUUUGAUGUUGGCCUCAUCUUAAUUAAUUUAGAGCAAACCUCUUGAAACUGUAGCAAGUAACAGGAAGGGUAACUUCAUAAAUAGAUAUUGAAAUUGUCUAUAGCCUGCUGAAAAUGUACUUUAAGUGGUUUCCUCAGAAAUUUACUUCCUUGGAAUAUACUGAGGCACUUAACUGGUGAUCUUUUAUAUUUUUUUCCAUUCUGAGAGAGUUGAAAAAGUAACCUUGUGUUUACUUGGUUUAAUUGAAUAGUCUGUUCUAAAAUUUUGUUUCAAUUGUUUUCUAACUAUUUAUGAAUUGUGUUUAGUAUCAGAAUAAGAUAGAUUUGGUUCUAAUCCACAUUUGACUGGCUUCAUGAAAAUUACUUUAUCUUUCAGAGACUAAUUUUUCUAUUCUGAAAAUUUAUGCUUCUGAAAUACUUCCUCAUAGGUUUAUAUGGGAUUACAUGAGAUAAAUUAAUGAAAAUAAUAUAUCAAAUACUUGGCACAUGGCAAGAAAUCAGUAAAAAUUAGCAUUUAUUAGUGCCAUGAAAAAAUACCUCUUCGUUAAGAUUAACACAUUCAAUAGAGUAGAAACACUGUAUUUUUUAAAAAAUAUAUUAUUAUUAUUAUACUUUUUAAGGCUGUACUUGCAGCAUAUGGAAGCUCCUAGCCUGGGAACCUCCAUAUACCACAGGUGCGGCCCUAGAAAAGGUAAAAAGACAAAAAAAAAAAAAAUUUAGUAAUGUAUAUCAUAUACAGUAAAAAAAAAAAAAAAAAAA
rnacentral:lncRNA from 1 species